GUCCGCGUAACUCAGUGGUAGAGUGUGAGAUUGCAAAUCUCGAAGCCCCGUGUUCGAACCACGGCGCGGACU
rnacentral:tRNA from 1 species